CCUACGGGAGGCAGCAGUGGGGAAUUUUGGACAAUGGGCGCAAGCCUGAUCCAGCUAUUCCGCGUGUGGGAAGACGGCCUUCGGGUUGUAAACCACUGUUGUAGAGGACGAAAAGUCUGUUGAUAAUAUCGUUAGAUGAUGACGGUACCUUAACAAUAAGCACCGGCUAACUAGGUGCCAGCAGCCGCGGUAAUACGUAGGUUGCAAGCGUUAUCCGGAAUUACUGGGCGUAAAGCGUUUGUAGGCGGUUUGCUAAGUCUGAAGUAAAAGCCCGGGGCUAAACCGGGGCAGGCAUUCCAUACUAGCAGACUAGAGUGAGUUAGAGGGGAGUGGAAUUCCAAGUGUAGCAGUGAAAUGCGUAGAUAUAUGGAAGAACACCGAAGGCGAAGGCAGCCUACUGGGACGAAACUGACGCUCAGAGACGAAAGCGUGGGGAGCAAACAGGAUUAGAUACCCCGGUAGUC
rnacentral:rRNA from 1 species